rnacentral:SRP_RNA from 1 species
GCCAGGUGUGGUGGCGCGCACCUGUAGUCCCAGCUGCUCGGGAGGCUGAGGCAGGAGAAUUGCUUGAGCCCAGGAGGCCGGAGGUUGCAGUGAGCUGAGAUUGCACCACUGCACUCCAGCCUGGGCGACAGAAUGAGAUUCCGUCUCAA